AUCCAGCUGACGAGUCCCAAAUAGGAUGAAACGCUCGUCAAAAUUAGAU
rnacentral:hammerhead_ribozyme from 1 species